rnacentral:rRNA from 1 species
AGUGAACGCUGGCGGUAGGCCUAACACAUGCCAGUCGAACGGCAGCACAGUAAGAGCUUGCUCUUACGGGUGGCGAGUGGCGGACGGGUGAGGAAUACAUCGGAAUCUACUUUUUCGUGGGGGAUAACGUAGGGAAACUUACGCUAAUACCGCAUACGACCUACGGGUGAAAGCAGGGGAUCUUCGGACCUUGCGCGAUUGAAUGAGCCGAUGGCGGAUUAGCUAGUUGGCGGGGUAAAGGCCCACCAAGGCGACGAUCCGUAGCUGGUCUGAGAGGAUGAUCAGCCACACUGGAACUGAGACACGGUCCAGACUCCUACGGGAGGCAGCAGUGGGGAAUAUUGGACAAUGGGCGCAAGCCUGAUCCAGCCAUACCGCGUGGGUGAAGAAGGCCUUCGGGUUGUAAAGCCCUUUUGUUGGGAAAGAAAAGCAGCAGGUUAAUACCCCGCUGUUCUGACGGUACCCAAAGAAUAAGCACCGGCUAACUUCGUG